rnacentral:rRNA from 1 species
AUUGAACGCUGGCGGCAGGCCUAACACAUGCAAGUCGAGCGGUAGCACAGAGAGCUUGCUCUCGGGUGACGAGCGGCGGACGGGUGAGUAAUGUCUGGGAAACUGCCUGAUGGAGGGGGAUAACUACUGGAAACGGUAGCUAAUACCGCAUAACGUCGCAAGACCAAAGUGGGGGACCUUCGGGCCUCAUGCCAUCAGAUGUGCCCAGAUGGGAUUAGCUAGUAGGUGGGGUAACGGCUCACCUAGGCGACGAUCCCUGGCUGGUCUGAGAGGAUGACCAGCCACACUGGAACUGAGACACGGUCCAGACUCCUACGGGAGGCAGCAGUGGGGAAUAUUGCACAAUGGGCGCAAGCCUGAUGCAGCCAUGCCGCGUGUGUGAAGAAGGCCUUCGGGUUGUAAAGCACUUUCAGCGGGGAGGAAGGCGUUAAGGUUAAUAACCUUGGCGAUUGACGUUACCCGCAGAAGAAGCACCGGCUAACUCCGUGCCAGCAGCCGCGGUAAUACGGAGGGUGCAAGCGUUAAUCGGAAUUACUGGGCGUAAAGCGCACGCAGGCGGUCUGUCAAGUCGGAUGUGAAAUCCCCGGGCUCAACCUGGGAACUGCAUUCGAAACUGGCAGGCUAGAGUCUUGUAGAGGGGGGUAGAAUUCCAGGUGUAGCGGUGAAAUGCGUAGAGAUCUGGAGGAAUACCGGUGGCGAAGGCGGCCCCCUGGACAAAGACUGACGCUCAGGUGCGAAAGCGUGGGGAGCAAACAGGAUUAGAUACCCUGGUAGUCCACGCCGUAAACGAUGUCGAUUUGGAGGUUGUGCCCUUGAGGCGUGGCUUCCGGAGCUAACGCGUUAAAUCGACCGCCUGGGGAGUACGGCCGCAAGGUUAAAACUCAAAUGAAUUGACGGGGGCCCGCACAAGCGGUGGAGCAUGUGGUUUAAUUCGAUGCAACGCGAAGAACCUUACCUGGUCUUGACAUCCACAGAACUUUCCAGAGAUGGAUUGGUGCCUUCGGGAACUGUGAGACAGGUGCUGCAUGGCUGUCGUCAGCUCGUGUUGUGAAAUGUUGGGUUAAGUCCCGCAACGAGCGCAACCCUUAUCCUUUGUUGCCAGCGGUUAGGCCGGGAACUCAAAGGAGACUGCCAGUGAUAAACUGGAGGAAGGUGGGGAUGACGUCAAGUCAUCAUGGCCCUUACGACCAGGGCUACACACGUGCUACAAUGGCAUAUACAAAGAGAAGCGACCUCGCGAGAGCAAGCGGACCUCAUAAAGUAUGUCGUAGUCCGGAUUGGAGUCUGCAACUCGACUCCAUGAAGUCGGAAUCGCUAGUAAUCGUAGAUCAGAAUGCUACGGUGAAUACGUUCCCGGGCCU